UACAGAGGGUGCGAGCGUUAAUCGGAAUUACUGGGCGUAAAGCGUGCGCAGAUGGUUACGUAAGUCGGGUGUGAAAGCCCCGGGCUCAACCUGGGAAUUGCAUUCGAGACUGCGUAGCUAGGGUGCGGAAGAGGGAAGCGGAAUUUCCGGUGUAGAGGUGAAAUUCGUAGAUAUUCGCAAGAACACCAGUGGCGAAGGCGGCUCACUGGCCCGAUACUGACGCUGAGGCACGAAAGCGUGGGGAGCAAACAGG
rnacentral:rRNA from 1 species